rnacentral:rRNA from 1 species
AGUGAACGCUGGCGGUAGGCCUAACACAUGCAAGUCGAACGGCAGCACAGUAAGAGCUUGCUCUUACGGGUGGCGAGUGGCGGACGGGUGAGGAAUACAUCGGAAUCUACUUUUUCGUGGGGGAUAACGUAGGGAAACUUACGCUAAUACCGCAUACGACCUACGGGUGAAAGCAGGGGAUCUUCGGACCUUGCGCGAUUGAAUGAGCCGAUGUCGGAUUAGCUAGUUGGCGGGGUAAAGGCCCACCAAGGCGACGAUCCGUAGCUGGUCUGAGAGUAUGAUCAGCCACACUGGAACUGAGACACGGUCCAGAAUCCUACGGGAGGCAGCAGUGGGGAAUAUUGGACAAUGGGCGCAAGCCUGAUCCAGCCAUACCGCGUGGGUGAAGAAGGCCUUCGGGUUGUAAAGCCCUUUUGUUGGGAAAGAAAAGCAGCAGGUUAAUACCCCGCUGUUCUGACGGGACCCAAAGAAUAAGCACCGGCGAACUUCGU